rnacentral:rRNA from 1 species
AACGAACGCUGGCGGCAGGCUUAACACAUGCCAGUCGAGCGGGCAUCCUUGUGGUGUCAGCGGCAGACGGGUGAGUAACGCGUGGGAACGUGCCCUUCGGUUCGGAAUAACUCAGGGAAACUUGAGCUAAUACCGGAUACGUGCGAGAGCAGAAAGGUUUAUCUGCCGAAGGAUCGGCCCGCGUCUGAUUAGCUAGUUGGUGAGGUUAUGGCUCACCAAGGCGACGAUCAGUAGCUGGUCUGAGAGGAUGAUCAGCCACACUGGGACUGAGACACGGCCCAGACUCCUACGGGAGGCAGCAGUGGGGAAUAUUGGACAAUGGGGGCAACCCUGAUCCAGCCAUGCCGCGUGAGUGAUGACGGCCUUAGGGUUGUAAAGCUCUUUUCUCCGGGACGAUAAUGACGGUACCGGAGGAAUAAGCCCCGGCUAACUUCGUG